rnacentral:rRNA from 1 species
CGUACGCUUCUUUUUCACCGGAGCUUGCUCCACCGGAAAAAGAAGAGUGGCGAACGGGUGAGUAACACGUGGGUAACCUGCCCAUCAGAAGGGGAUAACACUUGGAAACAGGUGCUAAUACCGUAUAACAAUCGAAACCGCAUGGUUUUGAUUUGAAAGGCGCUUUCGGGUGUCGCUGAUGGAUGGACCCGCGGUGCAUUAGCUAGUUGGUGAGGUAACGGCUCACCAAGGCCACGAUGCAUAGCCGACCUGAGAGGGUGAUCGGCCACAUUGGGACUGAGACACGGCCCAAACUCCUACGGGAGGCAGCAGUAGGGAAUCUUCGGCAAUGGACGAAAGUCUGACCGAGCAACGCCGCGUGAGUGAAGAAGGUUUUCGGAUCGUAAAACUCUGUUGUUAGAGAAGAACAAGGAUGAGAGUAACUGUUCAUCCCUUGACGGUAUCUAACCAGAAAGCCACGGCUAACUACGUGCCAGCAGCCGCGGUAAUACGUAGGUGGCAAGCGUUGUCCGGAUUUAUUGGGCGUAAAGCGAGCGCAGGCGGUUUCUUAAGUCUGAUGUGAAAGCCCCCGGCUCAACCGGGGAGGGUCAUUGGAAACUGGGAGACUUGAGUGCAGAAGAGGAGAGUGGAAUUCCAUGUGUAGCGGUGAAAUGCGUAGAUAUAUGGAGGAACACCAGUGGCGAAGGCGGCUCUCUGGUCUGUAACUGACGCUGAGGCUCGAAAGCGUGGGGAGCAAACAGGAUUAGAUACCCUGGUAGUCCACGCCGUAAACGAUGAGUGCUAAGUGUUGGAGGGUUUCCGCCCUUCAGUGCUGCAGCUAACGCAUUAAGCACUCCGCCUGGGGAGUACGACCGCAAGGUUGAAACUCAAAGGAAUUGACGGGGGCCCGCACAAGCGGUGGAGCAUGUGGUUUAAUUCGAAGCAACGCGAAGAACCUUACCAGGUCUUGACAUCCUUUGACCACUCUAGAGAUAGAGCUUCCCCUUCGGGGGCAAAGUGACAGGUGGUGCAUGGUUGUCGUCAGCUCGUGUCGUGAGAUGUUGGGUUAAGUCCCGCAACGAGCGCAACCCUUAUUGUUAGUUGCCAUCAUUCAGUUGGGCACUCUAGCAAGACUGCCGGUGACAAACCGGAGGAAGGUGGGGAUGACGUCAAAUCAUCAUGCCCCUUAUGACCUGGGCUACACACGUGCUACAAUGGGAAGUACAACGAGUCGCGAAGUCGCGAGGCUAAGCUAAUCUCUUAAAGCUUCUCUCAGUUCGGAUUGUAGGCUGCAACUCGCCUACAUGAAGCCGGAAUCGCUAGUAAUCGCGGAUCAGCACGCCGCGGUGAAUACGUUCCCGGGCCUUGUACACACCGCCCGUCACACCACGAGAGUUUGUAACACCCGAAGUCGGUGAG